rfam:Oryza glumipatula chromosome 6, whole genome shotgun sequence.
GAUUUCAACUGAAAAAGUUGUCAACAACAAAGUUGAAUAACUCAUCAAGAUCUAUAACUUUUAUUUUGGUCAUUUCUUCAUCCGACAAAGUGAUAGUAACAUUGUUCACAAAAUUGACAUAUCUCUUAUCUGGUUUUAUAAACUAAUACACAUAUAUGUAAAAUUUAUGAACAAUGUUACUAACAUUUUAUCAGAUGAAGAAAUGACCAAAAUAAAAGUUUUAGAUCUUGAUGAGUUAUUCAACUUUGUUGUUGAUAACUUUUUCAGUUGAAAUC